CCUACGGGGGGCUGCAGUGAGGAAUAUUGGUCAAUGGACGAGAGUCUGAACCAGCCAAGUAGCGUGAAGGAUGACUGCCCUAUGGGUUGUAAACUUCUUUUAUAUGGGAAUAACAUGUUCCACGUGUGGGAUUUUGUAUGUACCAUAUGAAUAAGGAUCGGCUAACUCCGUGCCAGCAGCCGCGGUAAUACGGAGGAUCCGAGCGUUAUCCGGAUUUAUUGGGUUUAAAGGGAGCGUAGGUGGAUUGUUAAGUCAGUUGUGAAAGUUUGGGGCUCAACCGUAAAAUUGCAGUUGAAACUGGCAGUCUUGAGUACAGUAGAGGUGGGCGGAAUUCGUGGUGUAGCGGUGAAAUGCUUAGAUAUGACGAAGAACUCCGAUUGCGAAGGCAGCUCGCUGGACUGCAACUGACACUGAGGCUCGAAAGUGUGGGUAUCAAACAGGAUUAGAUACCCGGGUAGUC
rnacentral:rRNA from 1 species